rnacentral:rRNA from 1 species
CUACGGGUCGCACCAGUGAGGAAUAUUGCACAAUGGGGGGAACCCUGAUGCAGCAACGCCGCGUGGAGGAUGACGCAUUCCGGUGUGUAAACUCCUUUUAUAUGUCAAGAAAAUGACGGUAGCAUAUGAAUAAGCACCGGCUAACUCCGUGCCAGCAGCCGCGGUAAUACGGAGGGUGCAAGCGUUACUCGGAAUCACUGGGCGUAAAGGACGCGUAGGCGGGUUGGAAAGUCAGGUGUGAAAUCCUACAGCGUAACUGUAGAACUGCACUUGAAACUUCUAAUCUAGAGUAUGGGAGGGGGAGAUGGAAUUAGUGGUGUAGGGGUAAAAUCCGUAGAUAUCACUAGGAAUACCUAAAGCGAAGGCGAUCUCCUGGAACAUUACUGACGCUAAGGCGUGAAAGCGUGGGGAGCAAACAGGAUUAGAUACCCCCGUAGUC